rnacentral:misc_RNA from 1 species
GUUCGUACUCUAUCAAUAAUCAUUUGUCUUCCAGACAAAUCUUCAGCAUACCCAACAACCUGAGAGUCCGUCUGUGUUUCACUAAAGUGAUCAUACACAUUUGCAGUUGCAUCUCCUGAAUGAGUGUGGGUUUCAUCCUCUUUCUCAAACCUGUUUGUCCAGUGGUUAGACAAUCCAAGCGUAGCAUGAUUAUCUCCAUGACCUUGAGCAAGAUUGUUACAACCAGAUGUAAAAAGUUCUUUAUCACACUCGCUUCUCGAUGGAGACUUUUGAUCAUGGAUCUUGCUUGUUUGCUCCAAUAAGUCCUCUAUCGCAGCAGCUACAUCAGGA